UGGGGAAUUUUGGACAAUGGGCGAAAGCCUGAUCCAGCAAUGCCGCGUGUGUGAAGAAGGCCUUCGGGUUGUAAAGCACUUUUGUCCGGAAAGAAAUCCUUGGCUCUAAUACAGUCGGGGGAUGACGGUACCGGAAGAAUAAGCACCGGCUAACUACGUGCCAGCAGCCGCGGUAACACGUAGGGUGCAAGCGUUAAUCGGAAUUACUGGGCGUAAAGCGUGCGCAGGCGGUUUGCUAAGACCGAUGUGAAAUCCCCGGGCUCAACCUGGGAACUGCAUUGGUGACUGGCAGGCUAGAGUAUGGCAGAGGGGGGUAGAAUUCCACGUGUAGCAGUGAAAUGCGUAGAGAUGUGGAGGAAUACCGAUGGCGAAGGCAGCCCCCUGGGCCAAUACUGACGCUCAUGCACGAAAGCGUGGGGAGCAAACAGGAUUAGAUACCCUGGUAGUCCACGCCCUAAAACGAUGUCAACUAGUUGUUGGGGAUUCAUUUCCUUAGUAACGUAGCUAACGCGUGAAGUUGACCGCCUGGGGAGUACGGUCGCAAGAUUAAAACUCAAAUGAAUUGACGGGGUCAUAGCUGUUUCCU
rnacentral:rRNA from 1 species